CCGCAAGCCUCCAGCGUGGGGGGGCCUGGCGUGGCCCCCGCCACUCCUGCGGCGCUUGCCAGAGCAACCCCCCCGGGCCGGUUUGAGGCCCCCCCCUGCCCUCCCCGGGGGGGGGUUAUAGACACCCCGGACACCC